GCCAUUCAGAAAGGCAAUAAGCAAGCUCUAAGAAUACAUGCUGAAAAUACAGUCCACCAGAAAAAGCAAGCAAUUGAUUUCUUAAGAGUGAGUGCUAGAGUUGAUGCUGUGGCAGCCAGAGUUCAAAAUGCAGUAACAAUGGGCAGGGUAACAAGUCCAUAUGAGGCAUAGUUAAGUCUGUGGGUGCUUCAUUGAGGAGUAGAACCUUGAAAAGACUUCUGCCUUGAUGAACAAAUUCGAACACCAGUUUGAAAUAUUGGAUAUUCAAACACAACAAAUGGAAGAUAAAAUGAGUAACUCUACAACCCUAACAACACCACAAAACCAAAUGGAUAUGCUGCUUCAGGAAAUGCCAGAUGAAGCUAGGUAAGAAGUUAUCCAGGUGAUUGUGGAAAAUCUUGAUUUAGUAUCUAGAGGUUCUAAAAUGCUGUGAUAUAGAUGAAAAUAUUUCUCUUUUCCACGAAUUGCCAGAGUUAGGUUUGUGACCCUAGAAUUUAGUGUUUCAAGGGACUUUAAACAGUCAUCUAAUUCCUUGCCAUGCUCAUAAAAAUUUGACUGUGUUUCAAUCAUCUUAGUAUUUUCUUAAAAAUUUCUGGAAAUAGACUCAUUUAGUGUGUGUAAAGAAAUAGGCAAAGGUGAUCAAAGGAAGCAGGAAUGUUUAAACAAUUACCUAAUACCUACUGUUCGCUGCAUAUAUGAAAUAUAUGGUGUGUUUUGUUUUUUGUUUUUUUUAAAAAAGGACCUUCCAAAAUAAUUCUGCUGUGAUUAGGCCAUUGAGUCAUAAGUCUAGUUUGAGUACUGCAAACUGAGCAAUAUGUGCAAAAUGUGCAAGGGGCUCAAAAGACAGCAGUAUUACACAUAAUGAUUUGGUUGUUUCUUUUAAGUAAAUAGUUCAUACCCUUUUGUGAUAUUGUUAUUGGAAAUAGGGUGUAUAAUACAAGCUGUUUAUUUCAGGCCCUUCAUGUCAUGGGAGAAUGACUUAUCUAUGACAUCUUUGCUAUAGAGGUCAUGUUGUAUCAUUAUUCUCUGGUGUAAUGUUUGCUUCAAGAUAAUGUAGUAGUAAAAAAUAAAAAUUGAUGCUAAUGUUUUAUAAUUUAUUUUCAAAGGUAGAGAACUAGUUUGAAACAAGGCUUAGUCUUAUUUUGUUCUUUUCUCCUGGGAAGAGAAGAUUUGAAGACAUCUGGAAAACAGAGUAGAUAAAUACUACUCUCUUAUCUAAGCUAAUACCUGAUUAGAAUAAACAGUUAAGUUUAUCAACUCUUUCGAUCACUAAUAUAUUACUAAAGAAUUAAAAUCGAGAUUAAUAAAUUAAAAAUCAGGUUAGUAGUGUUCGAGAACAGGGCUGUGGGUUAAGUUGUGUGCUAUUUUGUUUUGUUAGUAUCCUAAAGUAGCCCAUAUAUGGAGGGGAACAAGAAAGGUGGUUUUCAUUAAAUAUUAUAACAAAGGCAUUGUGUGUCAGAAGACUCCGUCUUCUAAACAUAGUCUUUAUGAGGGACUAAGGACUUGUUUAGUUUCUGCUAAAGACUAAAUUAGACGAUUUGGCUUGAAAAUGCAACAAGGGAAGUCUUAUAAAAUGAAUGCU
ensembl:lincRNA